CGACGAUGCGUAGGGGUUCUGAGAGGAAGGUCCCCCACACUGGUACUGAGACACGGACCAGACUCCUACGGGAGGCAGCAGUGAGGAAUAUUGGUCAAUGGGCGGGAGCCUGAACCAGCCAAGUCGCGUGAGGGAAGACGGUCCUAUGGAUUGUAAACCUCUUUAGGCGGGGAGCAAUGCCGGGCACGCGUGCCCGGAGGGAGAGUACCCGCAGAAUAAGCAUCGGCUAACUCCGUGCCAGCAGCCGCGGUAAUACGGAGGAUGCGAGCGUUAUCCGGAUUUAUUGGGUUUAAAGGGUGCGUAGGCGGAUUUUUAAGUCAGCGGUAAAAUGUCCGGGCUCAACCCGGGCCGGCCGUUGAAACUGGGGAUCUUGAGUGGGCGAGAAGUAUGCGGAAUGCGUGGUGUAGCGGUGAAAUGCAUAGAUAUCACGCAGAACUCCGAUUGCGAAGGCAGCAUACCGGCGCCCGACUGACGCUGAGGCACGAAAGCGUGGGGAUCGAACAGGAUUAGAUACCCUGGUAGUCCACGCAGUAAACGAUGAAUGCUAGUUGUCCGGUUCUUUGGGACUGGGUGAC
rnacentral:rRNA from 1 species